rnacentral:tRNA from 1 species
ACUUAAAUAGUUUAUUUAAAAUAUUAAUUUGUGGAGUUAAUGAAGUGAUAUAAGUUCAUUUUAAGUU